GACGAACGCUGGCGGCGUGCCUAAUACAUGCAAGUCGAGCGAAGUUUUUCUGGUGCUUGCACUAGAAAAACUUAGCGGCGAACGGGUGAGUAACACGUAAAGAACCUGCCUCAUAGACUGGGACAACUAUUGGAAACGAUAGCUAAUACCGGAUAACAGUAUUUCUCGCAUGAGAGAUAUUUAAAAGUUGGUUAUGCUAACACUAUGAGAUGGCUUUGCGGUGCAUUAGCUAGUUGGUGGGGUAAAGGCCCACCAAGGCGACGAUGCAUAGCCGACCUGAGAGGGUGAUCGGCCACACUGGGACUGAGACACGGCCCAGACUCCUACGGGAGGCAGCAGUAGGGAAUCUUCCGCAAUGGGCGAAAGCUUGACGGAGCAACGCCGCGUGAGUGAAGAAGGAUUUCGGUUCGUAAAGCUCUGUUGUUAGGGAAGAAUGGAUAUGUAGUAACUAUACAUGUAAGAGACGGUACCUAACCAGAAAGCCACGGCUAACUACGUG
rnacentral:rRNA from 1 species